rnacentral:rRNA from 1 species
GUGAGGAAUAUUGGACAAUGGAUGGAAAUCUGAUCCAGCCAUGCCGCGUGCAGGAAGACGGCCCUAUGGGUUGUAAACUGCUUUUAUACGGGAGCAAUAAGGUCUAUGCAUAGAUUGAUGAGAGUACCGUAUGAAUAAGCAUCGGCUAACUCCGUGCCAGCAGCCGCGGUAAUACGGAGGAUGCGAGCGUUAUCCGGAUUUAUUGGGUUUAAAGGGUGCGUAGGCGGCUUUGUAAGUCAGCGGUGAAAUUUUGCAGCUUAACUGUAAAAGUGCCGUUGAUACUGUGAAGCUAGGAUUUGGUUGCUGUGGGCGGAAUGUGUGGUGUAGCGGUGAAAUGCAUAGAGAUCACACAGAAUAUCGAUUGCGAAGGCAGCUCACAAAGCCAAUAUUGACGCUGAGGCACGAAAGUGUGGGGAUCAAACAGGAUUAGAUACCCGGGUAGUCC